UACCUCUUUUAAACUAAUCUUGCUACGUGGAAAGGAGCUGUACUCUAUAUACUAAAAAGGU
rnacentral:tRNA from 1 species